rnacentral:tRNA from 1 species
AGGGAUGUGGCUCAGCAGCACAGUGCAUGCCUGGCAAGCACAAGGCCCUGAGUUCAAUUCCCAACAUCCCGA